rnacentral:rRNA from 1 species
GAUGAACGCUGGCGGCGUGCCUAAUACAUGCAAGUCGAGCGAACAGAUGAGAAGCUUGCUUCUCUGAUGUUAGCGGCGGACGGGUGAGUAACACGUGGGUAACCUACCUAUAAGACUGGGAUAACUCCGGGAAACCGGGGCUAAUACCGGAUAAUAUUUUGAACCGCAUGGUUCAAUAGUGAAAGACGGUUUCGGCUGUCACUUAUAGAUGGACCCGCGCCGUAUUAGCUAGUUGGUAAGGUAACGGCUUACAAGGCGACGAUACGUAGCCGACCUGGGAGGGUGAUCGGCCACACUGGAACUGGGAAACGGUCAGACUCAUACGGGAGGCAGCAGUAGGGAAUCUUCCGCAAUGGGCGAAAGCCUGACGGGGCAACGCCGCGUGAGUGAUGAAGGUCUUCGGAUCGUAAAACUCUGUUGUUAGGGAAGAACAAAUUUGUUAGUAACUGAACAAGUCUUGACGGUACCUAACCAGAAAGCCACGGCUAACUACGUGCCAGCAGCCGCCGCCG